ACCUGCCGUCUACUCUUGGACAGCCUUCUGAAAGGAAGAUUAAUACAAGAUGGCAUCAUGAGUCCGCAUGUUCACAUGAUUAAAGGUAUUCCGGUAGACGAUGGGGAUGCGUUCCAUUAGAUAGUAGGCGGGGUAACGGCCCACCUAGUCUUCGAUGGAUAGGGGUUCUGAGAGGAAGGUCCCCCACAUUGGAACUGAGACACGGUCCAAACUCCUACGGGAGGCAGCAGUGAGGAAUAUUGGUCAAUGGGCGAGAGCCUGAACCAGCCAAGUAGCGUGAAGGAUGACUGCCCUAUGGGUUGUAAACUUCUUUUAUAAAGGAAUAAAGUCGGGUAUGCAUACCCGUUUGCAUGUACUUUAUGAAUAAGGAUCGGCUAACUCCGUGCCAGCAGCCGCGGUAAUACGGAGGAUCCGAGCGUUAUCCGGAUUUAUUGGGUUUAAAGGGAGCGUAGAUGGAUGUUUAAGUCAGUUGUGAAAGUUUGCGGCUCAACCGUAAAAUUGCAGUUGAUACUGGAUAUCUUGAGUGCAGUUGAGGCAGGCGGAAUUCGUGGUGUAGCGGUGAAAUGCUUAGAUAUCACGAAGAACUCCGAUUGCGAAGGCAGCCUGCUAAGCUGCAACUGACAUUGAGGCUCGAAAGUGUGGGUAUCAAACAGGAUUAGAUACCCUGGUAGUCCACACGGUAAACGAUGAAUACUCGCUGUUUGCGAUAUACGGCAAGCGGCCAAGC
rnacentral:rRNA from 1 species